rnacentral:lncRNA from 1 species
GGCAGCGAGCACAGGCGCCUGGUGAGGCAGGAGACUCAGCCUGAGGCAUUCGCAGAUAAGUUUCUAUUUAAAAAGAUUUAAAAGGAAACUAGAACUCUAAACUUAAUAGAGUAGCUUACUGAGAUAAUAAUAUUUUAAUAUUAAGAUUUUAAAAGGAAAGUAUGGAGGUUUAUUUAAACAAUUUGAAAAAGGAAAAGAGAAAAAUUUUUGUACCACCAGAUGGAGGCUGACCUGAGGCGUUUAUUCAGAGUAGGUUAGAAGAUUGUAAAAGGGAGCAAUUGUGGAGUUUCAAAGGUUCUAGCUUGAGGGUCAGCCUUGUUAGGUGUACUUUUAAACGAAGGUUACCUAAACAGAAUCUAAAUGGCUUUUUAAAAUUGUAAAGUUGUAGAUAAUAGUUUGAAAAUGAGAUGUAGUUUAAAAAGAUUGAAAAAAGUAAGUUGAAGGGCCGUUAUAAGAGUCGACUGUCGCAUGUACGAAGGCAUGAGUUGGAAACGGGGAAUGGAAGUGGUAGGGUUAGUAUUUUGAGAAAGAAGAUUAGAAAAUGGAAGUGGAAAAAUGAAGACAAGUUCAGGAAGGUGAAGAAAAGCUGUAGAGAAGAUAGGAAAAUAGAAGACCGAAGAAUCAUUAGAAGACAGAAAAGGUAUUUAAACACACAGGUAGGAAGAAAACUAGAAGAUAGAAAAAAAGCAAGAUAGAAAGACAAAAGGAAGUUCAGACAACUUUGGAUGCCAGCAUUCAAGAUAGGCAAAGAAGAUAAGAUCAAGACCAAAAGGUUGGAUAAGGUUAAAUCUCAGAAAUAAAGUCAGAAGGAAAUUAUUUUUAAAGCCAUAAAUUCAAGUUUCUGAUGGAGCCCAGCAGUUUAGAAGUGUCUGUAGACAGCCAUUUUACAAGAGUGAAGCUAGCAGUCAAAGCUACAACUGAAGUAAUUAAAAAGGCAGAAUGCGUUUGAAAAGUUAGAAGAAUAUUAGAAGCCUUAACUUGUAGCUUAAUUUUGUUUUGAGAACAAAAGGACUUUUGAUAACAAUUUCAAGAUUGUCAGCAUUUUGCAUUGGACUUGAGCUGAGGUGCUUUAAAAGUGUUAACGACUAGCAUUGGCAGCCGACCAAGGUCUACACAGAAGUGGAUUCAGUGAACCUAGGAAGACAGGAGUCCCGAAGCCAGUUUGGUGAAGCUAGGAAGGACUGAGCAGCCAGCAGCAGCAGGUCAUGGUGAAGAUAGCCCAGGAAACAGUGCGGUUCGUUGGAGGAAGCUAGGAAGAAGGAGCCGAAAUGAUGUGGUGAAGCUAGAAAAGAGGAUUCCGGGAAGGUGGAGCCAGUUCGAGUUGGUGAUGAAGCUAGCUGGCGUCUUGGCUUGUCAACGCGGAGGAGGCGAGCAGGCAUUGCGUUGUGGAGAGAAUAGAUAGCGGCUCCUAGACCAGCAUGUCAAUGUGCAAGAAAGGCUGCAGGGAAAGCAUGUGGUGCGGUAACAUCCCGUGAGGUCGGCAACGCGGUGGUGGUUUCUGUAACUUGAGGAUGGUAACUUGUUUAUUUUGCCUUGAUAUGGGGGAGUUUGUAGGCUUCUGUCUGUGAAGAGAGUCAUCUGGGGCUGUAGGCCGCUGCGGGUGUUGGAGGUUUUUCUUUUUCAGGGUUGUGUCCUCUUGCAUCUUGUCUGAAGCUUUUGAGGGCAGACUGCCAAGGCCCAGAAGAAUGGUAGAUGGCAAGUUGUCUUAACCCGAUCUGAGGGAAAAUGAAUGGUAGAGCCAACAGUCUCGCCAGUUUUGUAAGACGUUUUAGUUCUGUGAACAGCUAACCUACUGCAGUCUUCUGCAAGUCUUACUACUGUGUAGGGGAGGUAAUUGGGCAAAGUGCUUUGGGGAGAUCGGA